GCGGCGCUCAAAGGCAGAAGAAGGAGGGGGCGAUAUGCGACCCCUCCAGUCUCUCUCCGGCAUUAGGGAUUUGCGAGCUUGCAGCCCCGGCUACUCCACCCUGUCUGCCGAGGAUAACGUUUCCUUAGGUCAACCACCGCUGGGACUUGGGAACACGACCCUCCGCCCACAAUGCCCUUUAUUCCUUUCCCCGUCGUGGGUGGGUGGGGGAUUGUUUAAAGAUAUUCCAACCGGAUUUGGGGCCAAGCCUUUUCUGCAAAGGGAAAAACGGGUGAGUAGGAGGAGCGUGAGGCGUUGAAGGAGCGCCCAAACGGGCUGCGGGGAGAUCUUCACGCCUAAAACGUGGUCAGUCAAGUUGUGAGCUAAGAGAAGGUGGCUUUCGAUGAGGAUGUUGUCUGCUGAUUUAAAUACUCUGUCCCCCCACUGGGUGCCGUGGCUCACACCUGUAAUCCCAGCACUUUGGGAGGAUGAGAUGAGCGGAUCAUCUGAGGUCAGGUGUUUGAGACCAGUCUGACCGAAUGGUGAAACCCCACCUCUACUAAAAAUGCAAAAAUUAGCCAGGCAUGGUGGCACGCACUUGUAAUCCCAGCUACUUGGGAGGCUGAGGCAGGAGACUCGCUUGAACCUGGGAGGCGGAGGUUGCAGUGAGCUGAGAUGACUCCAUUGCACUUCACCCUGGGCAACACAGCAAGACUCCAUCUCAAAAAAAAAAAAAAAAAAAAAAACAACACUCUGCUCCCAACUUUAUUUGGGUUCUUCUGAUGCCAAUUGGAAGAAACUGAAUUUGAUGCAUGUUUUGAUGGGAAAGAGAUUUUCCUCUUAACAUAUUAUCCAGUGGUAGGCAUGGAACUGUGAAAUCUAUCAUCUUAAAGAAUAGUCACUUUCAAGCAAGUCCUUUUACAGAAGAACAUUUUAGAACUUUAUUAGAGAUGAAGAUACAUUAGGGACCUGAGAGCAUGGGACACCAAAAGCCUUGUUACAAAAUAGCUGAAGUAUUAAAAAGCGGGGAGAGGAGUUUAUGAAAAUUCAGUAUUAAAAUAUAUGUUGUUGUGCAGCAACAGGAACUACAUAAUAAAUCCUAAGAAAACAGGGACUUUGGGGGCUAUUUGUGAUGGAUUGCAAUUAACCCUGCUUAAAUAUCCAAUUAGGCAUCAGGGUAAGCAAUUUGUAAAUGUACUAACUGGUUAAUAUUUUAUGAAAAUCAGCAAAUUUCUAUCUCAGGUGACUUUUUUUUUUCCUGUACUUAAUGAACUAUUUAUUGGCUUAUUUAUUAGUAUUUAUCCUCAUUAAAAGCUUCCAUCACACCAGAAAGGAUACUAAGGCCUGCUAAAACACCUCACAUAGUUGGCACUCCAUGAAUGUUGAUUUCCUUCCUCAUGUUCACUUUUCUGAUUCUAAGGUCAAUUUUACCUUAAUUCUCUUUUGAAGUUUUUUUCUUUUGAAAAAAUGUACAUCUUUUUUCUUUUAACGUUAUAUAUGAUUGCUAAAGAAAGCUUAUGACUUUAGAAUGAUGAAAAAGGAAAUAACCUCAUUACACAAACACUACGAUGGUUAGCAUUUUCAGUAACCCCCCCCAAUCCCAUAUUUUCCCCUACCCCAUGUAUAGGCUUAAUUUAAAAGGUUUUAGCCUCCAACAGAUAUUUGUACACCUGUGUUCAUAGCAGCAUUAUGCACCAUAACCAAAAGGUGAAAGCCACCCAAAUGUCCAUCAGUGGAUGAAUAGAUGAACAAAAGGUGGCAUAUGCAUACAGUGGAAUAUUAUUUAGCAGUAAAAGGAAUAAAGUAUUGACAUAUGCUAUGACAUGCAUGAACCUUGAAGACUUUAUGCUAAGUGAAAUAAGCCAGUCACAAAAUGACAUAUAUGAUUCCUUUUAUACGCAGUACCUAGAGUAGUCAAAUUCAUCAAAGCAAAAAGUAGAAUGGUGGCUAGUGGGAGUGGGAAAUGAGGAGUUAUUGUUUAAUGAGGACAGAGUUUCAGUUGGGAAGAUGAAGCAGUUUCUGAGAUGGGUGCUGGUGAUGGUUACACAGCAAUGUAAAUGUGCGUAAUACCACUGAAGUAUACACUUGAAAAUGCUUAAAAUGAUAAAUUGCAUGCUGUGUAUGGUUUACAAUAAAAAAGCUUUUAGUUAUAAAAGUGAUACAUGCCCAUGAUUUUAAAAUUUUAAGGGAAUAAAUAAAAGGUGUAAAAUGAAAAGUACAACUUUUCUUACUUACCUCCCCUCAAUUGCACAACCCAGAGAUAACCAUCGUAACAAGUUUCAUGUUUCUGCUUUUCCUGACUGACAGAAGGACCCACCAAUUCCUCUUCCUUGGCUUUGAGUGGCCAUGAACCCUUGGGGAACUGAGGGUAACCUAAGCAUCCAGUUUGACUUACACACUCUUAGGAGAUGUUAUUGGCAUUAUCAUGCUUAUUGCGCUGUGGCAGAUACAUUGGAUAUACUCUCAGCUACUAGUGAUAGAAAAUCUGAAGCAAAAUGGUUUAAAUAGCAA
rnacentral:lncRNA from 1 species